rnacentral:rRNA from 1 species
AGAUGGCGACCGGCGCACGGGUGAGUAACACGUAUCCAACCUGCCGAUAACUCGGGGAUAGCCUUUCGAAAGAAAGAUUAAUACCCGAUGGUAUAAUCAGACCGCAUGGUUUGAUUAUUAAAGAAUUUCGGUUAUCGAUGGGGAUGCGUUCCAUUAGGCAGUUGGUAAGGUAACGGCUCACCAAACCUUCGAUGGAUAGGGGUUCUGAGAGGAAGGUCCCCCACAUUGGAACUGAGACACGGUCCAA